GAGGGUGUAGCGCAGCGGUAGAGCACAUGCCUAGCAUGCACAAGGUCCUGGGUUCCAUCCCCAGUACCUCCA
rnacentral:tRNA from 1 species